rnacentral:rRNA from 1 species
UACGUAGGGGGCGAGCGUUGUCCGGAUUUAUUGGGCGUAAAGCGCGCGUAGGCGGUCCGUUAAGUCGGAUGUGAAAAUCCGGGGCUCAACCCCGGACCUGCAUCCGAUACUGGCGGGCUGGAGGCAGGUAGGGGAGAUCGGAAUUCCUGGUGUAGCGGUGAAAUGCGCAGAUAUCAGGAGGAACACCGGUGGCGAAGGCGGGUCUCUGGGCCGAUACUGACGCUGAGGAGCGAAAGCGUGGGGAGCGAACAGG